AACAGAAUACCCAGGAGAAGAUUCCUCUCCCCAUACACACCUGUGAUUUUCAAGUCCUUUUAUUCAUGCCUUUAAAUGAAAGGGUUGAGUAUACAAGGUCAGUGAAAUUGUUAUUUAUGGUUGAAAUGUUUUUGCUACAUCUAUUUUAAGAAGGGUCAUUUUUCAUUUCAUUUUUUAAAAUUGCUUUAAAGUGUUUAGCUGACUAUACAAAAUUAUUCAAUGUGCAGCUAGCAGUUUACUCGAUUUCCAAGCUGUAGGUAGCCUAAGAAUUAUGUAAGAUUCUAUAAUUAAAGUGGUUAAGUUAAAAUUGUGUCAUUUAAUUGUCCCUAUGUUUAUAAUAGUCAUCACUCUUAAUUAUUUUUCUGUGACUAUAAAAACAUUUUCAUCUUAAAUGUGUUUCUCACCUCUCUGUUCAUUUUAGUUUACUUCUGAGAAAAAAAAUACAAUAUUAAUAUUUAAGUCACUCACUAAUAAUACACACCUUUAUACCAGAUGCCAGUAUUGCAUGUUUAGGUGGCCUACAGUUACGAAGAUCCUUGCUUCAUAACUGAAACAAAUCUCUCCAAAGAAUACCACUGCUUAUUGUAUAAUUUUUUUCCGGGAAAUGUGCCGCCCAACUAAGUUGGUAAUUUAAAAAUUAUGACUAUUUUUCCCUUUCAAGUUCUACUGAAUUCAAACUGUACAGAAAGUACUUAAUGAUGAACAUUUUUACCUACAGUAAUUCACGUUUUCUUUCCUGGUUGACAUGAGCCACUCUGCUCUGUAAGCUAAGAGCACACCAGCCUUCCCGUGCAGACCAGCCAAACUACAGGUUUGUGAGCAGCUAACCACGGGGAUACAGCUCUGCUAAUGCUCAACUAGAGUAUUUGGGAGACCUUCAACAUCUUGCUUCCAGGAGUCAGGAAAUUAGCAUACAUUGUAUUUCAAGACCAAAAAAAUAAAGCAUAAGACAACUGAGCAAGAUUUAUGAAUUCUAUUUGGAGACUGCAAGUGUCCCAGAACUAGAAGUCUCUGUAUUUGUGAUUCUUGAACUGCAUGCUUUGUAGAAUGUCCAACUACUGACCCUUUUCUGAAUCGAGGGAGAUUUCAAAGUGUAACUAUUCACAAGUGAAAAUGAGCAGGAAUUAAGUCUCUCAAAAAUAAGAGUUUAUUGUAAGGAAAAAUAGUCAAAACAAUGAUGACUGAGGAAAUAUUAUGUACUUAUUAUAUUGUUUUUAUCAUUGUCCAAAGUCUCUAGGUAUUGGAAGAAGAAAAAUUAAACAAAAACAAACAUUUCAUUUGUAAGUGGACUUGAAAAAUAAAUGACUAACCUUGACGUCCGUCAGCACACAAAAUCCUACACAGCCAAUGACAGACUUCAUUGUUUAAAGACUAGUUGGGAAUGAUUAAGAAAAAGAUGAUGUAAUCUAAUAUGUGAUAAAGAGAGAUAUAAUAUUCUCUACUGGAAGGCUUUGCUAUCAUGUCAUAUCAAAGUCUAGCAAAACGUUGAAAGUUAGAAAUGUUAUCAAGCAUUAGCAGGCAUUUAAAGAACGUCUCUUGAAUAUUUCUAGCAUAAAAAAGUAUUUCAUGUGAUGUAAAUGAAUGGUAAUUUUCUGACUUUAAAAGAGAGCCAUGCCAGUACAUUUCAGCGUUCUGGACCCAAUUCUGCAAACAUGGAGACGCUUUCAAUUUGCUCUGCCUGCCUUCCCGCCUUAGAUGGCUGCGAUUGCAGCGAAAUUAAUCCAUUUAAAAAUCUGCGGCUUAAACUUAAGGAUUUUCAGUUUUUUCCCCCUUCUCUCUCUUUUUUUUUCUUAGAAUAUCAAUAAGUUCCAAUUGAAGAGCGGAUUCUUUUGCAAUUCAGGCAUGUGCCGGCGAUAACGGGCGAGUUGGCAUGAAGAGAGGCAGAGAUGGAUUAAUUAUGCAGAGAACAUGGAAAUUCUGCUUAUCAUCGGCUAGCAAAGGAGCCCGGCUCACAUAAUCAGCAAACGAAGGGAGAGGAAAAAAUAACAAUGCAAUGGCACCUUCCAGCCCAUCAUCAGGAUUUCUUCUACCCCCCUUGUAAUUAAAAAAUAACAUACACUUAUAGCCCUAUCUCCUGUGCAGGCAAGGAGUGGAUGUCCACAAAAUAAUUGCACUGGGAUAUUAGAGCUGGCAACACGGGCUGUCCAUUCCUGCUUGCUCUCUUGCUCACCCUCUCUUUCUCUUUUGGCCUCUCAAGGCACUUUGCUUCUGAAUCCAGUCCAAAUCAGUCGAUGUCUCAGGUGACAUUCUAGCUCGGUUUCCAAAAAUCCCAAAUUGGUACCUUAUCAUGAUCCAAGCAAACAUACAUACAUAUAUGAUAAAUAUUUGAAGGGCUGACUCUGGGGGAGACUUUGGAACUGAUCACCUGUGGACUAUCUGGUCAAUUUCAUUUUUGAUGAAACAUGUCCAAACAGCCUUCAUUUUGCAAAGUGACUGGAUUAAAAUGGUAGGCCAUGCUAUCUUCUCAAUUGAUUUCUCCUCUUUACAACUUUUUGCACCUAUUUCCUUUGCCAACUCAUUUUAUAAAUUCAAGGGUAUACAAUUAAUUAUUGAGAUGUUUUGCCUUCAAAUCAGAAUUCGGAAUUCUAUAUUGUCACUAUAAAAUCCGAUAGCUCAGUGCUUUGUAUUUCUCUAGAAGCCCAAAGACACUAUACUAAACCUAGUUCAUUGCUUAAAAGAAACUAAAAUUAAAUCUUAACGUUUGUAUCCAUGUGUCUCCCAAUUCUAAGAAUUAGAAUGCAAACACGUAUGUUAAAUAAUGAUACUCCUGAUUGAAUGCCAUUGAAGUAGUUUUUUUUUUUUCUGUUUUAAUUGCCAACCAAGUAAUUUGACCUAAUUACAGACAUAAACCCCCAGAAACUCUGGCCGUGAAGAGAGACCAUUUCUUCCGGCAAAGUUACUGGUGAGCUACAGAAACAGAAAGAUGAAAAUAAAUCUGGAAAGACAAAAAUUAUGCAACAUAUGAAGGAAAGAUGUUGUUCCAAAGUGCAGUAAACUGGAAUUAGAAAGCUGGCAGACUCUAGAAAUGUAAUUUAUUCAUAGAGUUCCACCAAAGCAGGGAACCAGUGUGGGGCGCAGUUUACACGCUUGUGGGAAUGUUUUCAAUGACAGUGACAGUAAUAGACUGAUUUUUAAAACUAAUUAUUUACAUGACUAUGCAUAUGGACACACACAUAUUCUAGCACAUAUGAAUACUAUAGAAAACCAAAACUGAGUAAAUAAAUCAGUAAUUGGAGAUAUUUGUGAUUAGUGACUUUGUUCGUUUCUGAGAAUGGAGAGAAAAUAAAUAAGAAAAACACACUAAAGUGGUGGUAGGGAUUAAGGGUGAAGAAAAGUAGAAAAAUCCCAAUAAAGAGAGAAAAAGAGAAUAAAGAAUAUAGAGAAAAGAGAAUUAGAAUUAUGACAGUAGAAAUUAUAAUUUUUUGUUUAUUUUGUAAAUGCAUGCAUAAAAUAUAUUCUAUUAGAAUUAAAUAUACAAACGACGGAUAUAGAGAAAUCAUUCAAGUGUGUCUCCUUACACCAAGAAAUGUUUAAAUUCAGAAAGGCACUGCAGAUUCUGUAGAGUAGGGUAUAAUUCACAACUGACCUUGGAGCCUAGCCCAACAACUAGGGGAAUACAACUGGGAUGAUCUGACCAUUCAUUACCAUUGAAUUCCUACCACCUCCAACACAUUUUGUAUCUCUUUGAUUCAGUUUCCUCUCUGUAUUUUUUAAAGCCAUAGCUAAAAGCUAUUUAACAAAUAAUUUAUUCUUGAAAUUUGAGAAAAAUUGCAAGUCUAUAUAAAAAGCAAAGAAAAUAGUAAAAUAAACUCCCAUAUACCCAUUUCUCAGCUUCAUAAUUAUCAACUGAUGAAUAGUCAUCCUUUAGCUCUAUUCCACAAUCUCACCUUCUUUCUCAUCACAAGAUUUUUAAACAAUUUAUUUAGUUUUAAUUGACAGAUAAUAGGAGUGUAUAUUUAUGCUUUUGAAGUGUAUUCCUAGUAUAAUAAACCCUGCCCAUUUGAAAUUCUUAUUUGCAAGAUGUUUAAUAACCAAGAAGAAGCAAUGAGUCACUCUUGAUAGGACCAAUUAACACACCAAAUAUGAAGUUGUUUUUUUUUUUUUAUUAUAGAAGAGGAGAUCAAGUCAAAGC
rnacentral:lncRNA from 1 species